rnacentral:rRNA from 1 species
CGUGUAUGAAGAAGGCCUUCGGGUUGUAAAGUACUUUCAGCGGGGAGGAAGGUGUUGUGGUUAAUAACCACAGCAAUUGACGUUACCCGCAGAAGAAGCACCGGCUAACUCCGUGCCAGCAGCCGCGGUAAUACGGAGGGUGCAAGCGUUAAUCGGAAUUACUGGGCGUAAAGCGCACGCA